UACGGAGGGUGCAAACGUUGCUCGGAAUCAUUGGGCGUAAAGCGCACGUAGGCGGCCUAUUAAGUCGGAUGUGAAAGCCCUGGGCUCAACCCAGGAAGUGCAUUCGAAACUGGUAGGCUUGAGUAUGGAAGAGGGUCGCGGAAUUCCCGGUGGAGAGGUGAAAUUCGUAGAUAUCGGGAGGAACACCAGUGGCGAAGGCGGCGACCUGGGCCAAUACUGACGCUGAGGUGCGAAAGCGUGGGGAGCAAACAGG
rnacentral:rRNA from 1 species